UUUCCGCACAUGUGCCCUCACCUACAAACAGAUAGUGGUUUGUCCUACCGCCUUCAUAUCUCGUCACCAGGUUCUCAAGUCGCUUCAGGGGUCACAACGUCCCUCGUCAAGAAGAGUACAGUCUGCUGCAUUUUACCUUGUGCUUCUGAGGGCGUUUACCAAGGUGGCCCAGCUGAAUAUCCCACGGGAGCCUGAUAAUGACCACUCCGAGCCAACUCGCUGGUGAG